rnacentral:rRNA from 1 species
AAUAUUGGACAAGGGGCGAAAGCCUGAUCCACCCAUGCCGCGUGUGUUAAGAAGGCCUUCGGAGUUUAAAGCACUUUAAGUUGGGAGGAAGAGUUGUAGGCUAAUACUUUGCAUUUUUGCCGUUACCAACAGAAUAAGCACAGGCUAAUCUCGUGCCAGCAGCCGCGGUAAUACGAAGGGUGCAAGCGUUAAUCGGAAUUACUGGGCGUAAAGCGCGCGUAGGUGGUUCGUUAAGUUAGAAGUGAAAGCCCCGGGCUUAACCUGGGAAUUGCUUUCAAAACUGACGAGCUAGAGUACGGUAGAGGGUAGUGGAAUUUCCUGUGUAGCGGUGAAAUGCGUAGAUAUAGGAAGGAACAUCAGUGGCGAAGGCGACUACCUGGACUGAUACUGACACUGAGGUGCGAAAGCGUGGGGAGCAAACAGG